GAAGUGUGUGUGAGCCUGGAGCCGUCCAGAUGUGAAUGCAGCUGGAGGAGGAGGGGUGGAGGAAGGGAGGGAGAGAGGUGGAGGAGGUGGAGGAGGUGGGGGGCAGGCUGAAGGU